AUUAACACGUGAGCAACCUGCCCCUGACUCUGGGAUAAGCGCUGGAAACGGCGUCUAAUACUGGAUAUGAGCUGCGACCGCAUGGUCAGCAGUUGGAAAGAUUUUUCGGUCUGGGAUGGGCUCACGGCCUAUCAGCUUGUUGGUGAGGUAAUGGCUCACCAAGGCGUCGACGGGUAGCCGGCCUGAGAGGGUGACCGGCCACACUGGGACUGAGACACGGCCCAGACUCCUACGGGAGGCAGCAGUGGGGAAUAUUGCACAAUGGGCGAAAGCCUGAUGCAGCAACGCCGCGUGAGGGAUGACGGCCUUCGGGUUGUAAACCUCUUUUAGCAGGGAAGAAGCGAAAGUGACGGUACCUGCAGAAAAAGCGCCGGCUAACUACGUGCCAGCAGCCGCGGUAAUACGUAGGGCGCAAGCGUUAUCCGGAAUUAUUGGGCGUAAAGAGCUCGUAGGCGGUUUGUCGCGUCUGCUGUGAAAUCCCGAGGCUCAACCUCGGGUCUGCAGUGGGUACGGGCAGACUAGAGUGCGGUAGGGGAGAUUGGAAUUCCUGGUGUAGCGGUGGAAUGCGCAGAUAUCAGGAGGAACACCGAUGGCGAAGGCAGAUCUCUGGGCCGUUACUGACGCUGAGGAGCGAAAGGGUGGGGAGCAAACAGGCUUAGAUACCCUGGUAGUCCACCCCGUAAACGUUGGGAACUAGUUGUGGGGUCCAUUCCACGGAUUCCGUGACGCAGCUAACGCAUUAAGUUCCCCGCCUGGGGAGUACGGCCGCAAGGCUAAA
rnacentral:rRNA from 1 species